rnacentral:rRNA from 1 species
AUUGAACGCUGGCGGCAUGCUUUACACAUGCAAGUCGAACGGUAACAGGCCUUCGGGUGCUGACGAGUGGCGAACGGGUGAGUAAUGCAUCGGAACGUGCCCAGAGGUGGGGGAUAACGCAGCGAAAGCUGUGCUAAUACCGCAUGUGAUCUGAGGAUGAAAGCGGGGGACCAAGCAGCAAUGUUUGGCCUCGCGCCUCUGGAGCGGCCGAUGUCAGAUUAGGUAGUUGGUGGGGUAAAGGCCUACCAAGCCGACGAUCUGUAGCUGGUCUGAGAGGACGACUAGCCACACUGGGACUGAGACACGGCCCAGACUCCUACGGGAGGCAGCAGUGGGGAAUUUUGGACAAUGGGCGCAAGCCUGAUCCAGCAAUGCCGCGUGCGGGAAGAAGGCCUUCGGGUUGUAAACCGCUUUUGUACGGAACGAAAAGGCUCUGGCUAAUACCUGGGGCUGAUGACGGUACCGUAAGAAUAAGCACCGGCUAACUACGUG